AGAAUUAAUUGGUGCAAUCUAGUUAAUUUGGGGCAUUGUCAUUCAUGGUUUGUUGAAAGAGUAAUUGGAAAUUGAAUCGUAUGCAUAUGUUCAUGUGUGGAUAAGGAACCCUCUAACUAGUUUCUCAUCAUUCUAUUUCAUCACAAUCUGUUUUGCUUUAAGUUUGUUUUCAAAGUUUAAGUUCUAAAGUUUCAAUUUCGUCAAAAUCAAUCCCCCAUUUAUUUUAAAGUGUUAGAUUAGUUAGAAAUCAAUUUAGUUUGUGUUAAGUGUCUUGAGUCAAGUUUUAGUCCAAUUUCGUCCAAAUUAGUGUUAGGUACUCAAACUGCCCAGAAAGUGGUUUUAAGGCAGUUUUGAGUCUUUUAGUUGCUGUUUUGAGUUUUUUGUUGAUUUAAGUGUUUUAAACUCUAGUUUUGCAUUAAUUGAGUCUAGUUUAGUGUUCUACAUUAUGUUUUUAUGUUCUUGAGUCAGUUUCACAUUGAUUAGCAUCCCUAGUUAAUCCCCGGUUUAGAACGAUCCCUAUUUGCUCAUAUACUACAAUUGUCAUCCAUAGGGUUUAAUUUGUGUGUCAACAUAAUUUUCACAUCAAAUCUAAACCUUCCAACAUUUGCCUCAGGGAUUUCUAAUGCACAUGACAUGUUAAAGAUUAUCAUCCCCACAUAUUUGAGUCAUCUCUACACUUAAGCACAUACUUAAUCAUAGUCACUACUUACUUGUUCACGUUAAUCAAUUAAAACAAUGUUUUGAAUGUAGUAACAUGCCUUAGAGAGUUCGCUCAAGUCCUUACAAAGUAUGCACUCAAUUUUCACUCAGAUUUCUAACUACACACCCUAUACUAGUCAUAUGUGAGAAGAUUGAUGUAAACAUGAAAACGAACGCUCACAUAUAUGUAUUACAAAGAAAGCGAUUUCUGGAGCAUGUUUAGAUAUGAUCUCAUGAAUGGAAUGCUACUACUUAGAUACGAGAACCAGUGACACCAUAUGCUCAUAUCAAUUUCAAACUCCACAUAUUUAAAUGCAUGACACUCAAGAUGAAGUCAAAGGUUGUAACGGGCUUGGGGUGUUGGCUAACAAAUGAAGGUAAGGGAAAACAAACGUUCUUAAAGCAAUAGCAAAUAAAAUAAUGAACUUGAACUUAGAAUUCACUUAGAUUGCAGAAAUCAACUUUUAGACGUAAGGGAAAGAUUUAAACAACUCUUAGGGUCAAAUUCAACUUUUUUUUUUCUUUUUCUUUUUUUUUUAAUCACCCGUGCCUAUGGCACACUACUUACAUGAGAAACACUUCCCCCACACUUAUUUUCUACCAUACAUAAUCACAAGGAAUUCAAUUUGAAUCAUGCUUUACUAUGCUUUAAGAACAAGGGUAUGGAUGGUCCUAAUCUAGGCUAGGUGAGGAUAAUGUGGGUUAACAAAGAACGUAGGCUAACAAGGCUCAAUGGGGUUAACUUAAACAAAUAAUGAAGUAGGAUACACGGCAAUUUGGCUUUGGUGGUGGUAACUACACAACCUCAUCUUGAAUAUGUGUUAUGCAAAUCAAUAUCAUGCUUUGAAUGAAAUGGGCAUGAGUUCUAGCAUUUGGAACUAAAUGAUGAAAUGCCUUCUAAGUAGUAACCAAGCAAAGAAAAAUGAGAUCAUGCAACGACUUUAGAAAACAAUAAUGCACAGAUUAUCAACUCUCCAAAUAACGUUUAGGCUCAAGUCUCACAAGGUUGUAGCGUUUGUUUGAGUUCCUUUCUUCAAGCAUGUUACAAAAACUAAUUUUUCCUUUAUGAUUGCAUGUGAAUUCAUAAAUUAUAACUACAACCAAGUAUAAACUAAAGAGCAUAUCAAACUUUCAUCCAUGUUUAUAAUUCUCUUUAACAGUCAUGUAAUUAAAAACCAAAUCCUCAUCAUUGUGUUGGAAGGUACCCUAAGACACAAAAUAAACAAACAAAAACAACUCUUUUUCGGUUUUUCAAAACAAUUUUUCAAAUUUUUAUGAGAUUUUUGGAUUUUUAUGUCAAAACACACUGAAACACUCCAAAACAGCUUGAAAACACUUAAAAGAGCAAGGCACAACAUUAGAAGUAAUGGGUGAUAAACUCCUACGAAUUUUAUGCAAAACAAUGGUUACCCCCCCCCCACACUUAAAUUAAACAUUGUCCUCAAUGUUUCAAGUAUAAACUCACACAAAAACAAGCAAAUAAAUAAAUAACGAAUAAACAUGACAAGUAUAGCAAGGUAAAAACAAGAAAGAGUAGAGUUUAGGAACGCAAAUCUGGUUAUGGAGUUAGAUGAUCUUGUUGCCUUUCCACAGCUUUGAUCUUGAACUGGAUUGGAAUUGUACGGCGAAGCUUUGCUCUUUGGCGAUGUUGUUGAAGCUUCUUGAGUUCUUCAACUCAGACUCCUUCUGCUCUCGAGUUGAUUGUGCAGGCUCAAUUCCUUAUUUGUUCUCCAAGCAGAUGUGGCAGCUUCUCUAGUUCUUCAACUCAGACUCCUUAUGCUGGGUUGAUUGUGCAAGCUGCAUUCUUCUCUGCUUGUUUCUUCUGCACGGCAGGCAGGCACUAGGGAGAGGUGUUGGUUUGUUUCUUUGUUCAAUCUUUCUAAGUGCCCACCUCUUGCUUUCUUUCUCCUUGUCCCUAGUUGAGGAUGAAUCAGCACGUUGUCUCCACAUGCUUCGAGGUAUCAUCUUCACUUCCCUUAUACGUGAGAGACGAAGAGGAAGCAUAAGAUGAUGAGUACUCGAGAGCAAGUGUUGGCUGGAGAAAGGACAGGGAGAAUGCAUGAUAUGAGAUACUCGUGCUCUCAACCUUUAUGAUAUGAAAUACUUGUGCUCUGGAUGGGUUGUUUGCAGGGGUAUCCCAGGGGAUGAGAAAUACAGAGUGACUCGAGAGGGUUUGUUGGAAAGCCAUUUCAAAGAGGAUGAAAGGUUAAGUGAGGCUGAAAGUUGGGUGAGACUGCUUCACUUUGAAGUUCAACAUUUAUAGAAUUUUCUUAAUAGCUGGGAAGGCAUUGUUCCAUUACUCGUGCCGGCCAGCCUGGGAUAAUUUAACAGUAGUUUUCACGUGCAUUCCGCUUCUCCAAAAAUUUUCGACAGAUUGCGCGUGAUUUACGCACGCAGAUGUGCAAUUUGACAGAUGCUGACACGUCUCGAUAAAGCAGAGGCCUCUUUAAUAUCCGGAAUUUACGCUUCAAGUUCUGAGCUUCGUUUAGGGCAGAGAUUGCAUGUGACAAGUGCUGACGAGGCUGAGAGAGACAGAUGGUUGGAAUCCGCGCUUCGACAGACUGCCCAUGAUUUUCGCAAAGCUGAGUUUGCGUGUGACGGGUGCUGACGAGGCUGAGAAAGCUGACACUCUUCGAUAUCUGGAAUUGGUGGUUUGUGAGCAAGCUCAACUUUUGAGAACGCUGGCGCCUCUUCAAUCUCUUGAAAUCCCAUCACAUGUUGAUUUUUAUAGAGGUGCGUAGUUCAUUUCAAAGUGCAUUGAAAUGUCGCUUGUAAAACUCCCCUUUGCACUUCUAACCUCUGAAUUUAGCCCAUCUCUUCUUUCUCCAAAACCUCUGAAAUAUGUCUGGCCCUUCCGACCGUCGUUUUGACUUGAACCUUGGUGAAGGAGCAGCCCCUCCUUCUCCAGACAACAUAUGGCGCCCGUCCUUCAUAUCCCCUACUGGUCCUCUGAUGUGAAAAUUAACUUGACACACAAAUUAAACCCUAUGGAUGACAAUUGUAGUAUAUGAGCAAAUAGGGAUCGUUCUAACCGGGGAUUAACUAGGGAUGCUAAUCAAUGUAAAUCUGACUCAAGAACAUAAAAAUAUAAUGUAGAACACUAAACUAGACUCAAUUAAUGCAAAACUAGGGUUUAAAACACCUAAACAAACUAAAAACUCAAAACAGCAACUAAAAGGCUCAAAAUUGCCUUAAAACCACUUUCUGGGCAGUUUUGAGUACCUACACUAGUUUGGACGAAUUUGGACUAUGACUUGACUCAAAACACUUAAAAACACAACUAAAUGGAUUUCUAACUAAUCUAACACUUUAAAAUAAAUGGGGGAAUGAUUUUUGACGAAAUUAAAACUUUAAAACUCAAAACUUUAAAAAACAAAUGUAAAGCAAAACAGAUUGUGAUUAAAUAGAAUGGUGAGAAGCUAGUUAGAGGGUUCCUUAUCCACACAUGAACAUAUGCAUACAACUCGAUCUCCAAUUACUCUUUCAACAAACCAUGAAUGACAAUGCCCCAAAUUAACUAGAUUGCACCAAUUAAUUCUCAGAUUUCCCUAGAUUCAUUGAAUUGAACGGAAUACGCAUUACAACCAAAUUAUUCUUAUCAAGGACCCUAACUAUGGAAUACGCAUGAUAGAGACACAUAUCAAAGAUCAUUAAGUUUAAUGGAAAUCAUAAGCAUUGACGUUGCAUUCAUAACUAUGGGAUACGCAUGUUACUCUUGCCUAGGAUUUACUUAACACAAUCGUGACUAGCGACUUUCACUACUUAUGAAUACAAGUUAAUAACGAUUAGGUGAAAUUCCCUUAUAUCCUAGCAUCGAGUUUAGGCAUGCAAAUUAAGUGUCGACCCUCAACCCACAUACAUAAACAAGUUAUCAAUCAAAUAGAUAAGUAAAUCACAUUCACAAUUUCUGAAAUCUAAUUGGAAGAAAUCAAAUCAUAUAAAACAUAUGUCCAUGGCUUCAAAUUCACCUCUAACUAAAAAGAAAUUAGUUCCACAUGUCUAACAUAAUUGAACAACAAUUUAAAUUAAACAUGAAAACAGAAACAAAGAAAGAAAGAACUCCAAACACUCCACUAAUGGCAGAUUGCAUGUGCAAGGUGUCUUCCUCCUUUGGACUGCACGGCACUCCUUCUUUCUCCUCCUUUGGUGGCUGCACAAGGUGGUGAUGGUGGUGGGAAGGCACGGCUGUGGUGGAUGGAUGAUUAUGGAAGAGGGUAGAAGGGUUAAAAGGACUAGGGAGGCACGGCAAGGACAUAGAACUAGGGAGAAUGAAGGGGUUGGUUGCGGCAAGGGUUUAGAAUGAAUUUCUGGAGUGAAUGGAUGAUAUGGGAGGUGGUGUGUUCGGCCAAGAGGUUUAAAAGAAUAUAUAUAGGCACUUAAAAACCCUAGCAAUCAGAUUAGGGUUUCUAGAAACCCAAAUCCACCAGAAAAUAGGUUAAAACAAUCAGAAUUUGCAAGGGAAAAGGCCUAGGGUUCGGCUGAUUUAGUGGGCUAGGGUUUAGGCUUCUAGAAUGCCUUGCAAGGCAAGGAAAUCAGAUAUCUUGGGGCCUAGGUGCGGCAUUAAGUGAGGAUCCAAGAUGAAUUGGGCUAGGAAGGUGCGGCCUUGUCCAAGAGGUAAGGA
rnacentral:lncRNA from 1 species